rnacentral:rRNA from 1 species
GAGGCAACACCUGUACCCAUUCCGAACACAGCAGUUAAGCUCUUUUGCGUCGAUGGUACUGCUCGGGCAACCGUGUGGGAGAGUAGAUAACCGCCAUCU